rnacentral:tRNA from 1 species
GCCUGGGUGGCUCAGUCGGUUAAGCAUCCGACUUCAGCUUGGGUCAUGAUCUUACCACCUGUGAGUUCAAGUCCCACAUCAGGCU